CGAUUUCUGUUUGGCAGAACUUUACUGGAAUCAAAGGUUUAUCUGAGGCUAAAGUUGAUAAGAUAUGCGAAGCUGCUGAAAACCAUUUCAGCUAAGAGAUUUUAUAUCUCAUAUGUGUUCUUUGAUUAGGAAACACUUCAGAGACAAAUUCAACUUGUUAUUCAUAGUUUGAGAGAGAUGGCUCUGACGGGUUCCAGAAUACCCAUCAAAUGCAACAAUUUCAAUAUGCAUAAUUUAGUAUAGAUCAGGUUGUAUUCAUUCUAGAGUCGCAAAGGACAUACUUCUUUUGGAUGAUAUGGCAGCAAAGGAAACAUUAGAGGUGGCAGAUCAAGUAUCAGUUUCAUUCUUGUUAGAUGAUGUCUACUGCCAGUGCUAUCAUGAGGUUUUUGCAUAGGUUACGUUGUAGGUUUGGCAGCGCUAUUAUGAGUGAAUGAGUUGGAGGUUGUGUACAAGUUAAUUGUAAAUUUGGCAGCACUAUGAUGUGUUUCUUUAAUACUUUAUAGAGUUUGUAUUUGGAAUUGAUUA